UCCUAAUAUUUUAAUGAGUUGAAGGUAUAGUCUAAUCCUGUAUGAAAAUAUAGGUAUAAAUGCAGCAAGUUAAUAGUAGUAGCAAGGUUAAAAUCCCUAGCGAAAGCGACUGUUUCUGAUUAAGAAUCGGGUUGAGUUACUACUAUUAGACCCGAAAUGAGGUGAUCUUGCCAUGAUCAGGUUAUAAUGGACCGAACGGGUGAAUGUUGCAAUAUUCUCCGAUGAAUUGUGGUAAGUAGGUGAAAGACUAAUCAUACCUCUAUAGCUGGUUUUCCACGAAAGAUAUUUAAGUAUCACAUCAUUCUAAAAUUUUUAGAUUUAGGAGGGUACAGCACGUUGAAUUUCAGACGAAAGUCAAAUUGGGGGGCCUUGAAAUCCUACCUUUGAAAAUUAACCUCGGAAUAUCCUAAAUUGAUGAAUGAUAGUCAGACUAUUCAUGAUAAGGUGGGUAGUCAAAACGUAAACAGACGUGAGCACGUGUUUAAGGUUCCCCAAAACCGUUUAAGUGAAAUUAAGGAAGUUUUCCCCUGGAUACAACUAUUAAGUUAGCCUGGUAGUCGCGAUCUUUUAAAGAGUGUGUAACAACUCAUUAGUCUAAGUUGGGGGAAAGCGCCGAAAAUUUAACGGGUCUUAAAACGGUUACCGAUACCGUGCUAUUUUAAUUAUAUUAUUCUAGUAUAAUUGGAAUAGGUAGUGGAACAUUCAGAGCGGACGAAAAAUAGUGUUUCAUUAUUUGGACGUAACUGAAGAGAUAAUGCUGACAUGAGUAACGUAGAAAGAAGUUAUAAUACUUCUCGCCGAAUACGAAAGGGUUAUUAAGCAAGGUUAAACCUCUUAAUGUGAUAUCGGUCUCUAAGGUUAUAGACGAAUGUUUAAACUGAUGAGUGUUUGUUCAAAUUUUUCAGUUGCUUGGUGUUAAGUUAGCAAAAAUUGUUUAAUCUUUAUUUGUUAACGACUUGAGUUGAGCUAGAAGCUUUAGCAACUGAACUUGAAGAAUAGUAGACAAUCAGGAUCGACUAGCGUUAAUAAUAAUCGUAACUAUUUACUUAAAACGGUAAAUGGUUAUUAUUAAUUACUAAAAUUAUUGAAUUAAAUUAAUUAUAAUUAUUGUUAAUAUUAUUAGAUAAUACAGUCAGUAUUUUAGUUUAUAUUAAUUGUUUUAAUUAUAUUUAUAAUUAUAAUCUUUUUUUUUAUAAUUGGUUAUAGUUCUUAUUAGCUAUGAUUCGCGAUGUUGUAGCAGGAUCCUGCAUAGUAAAAUCCUUUUAAUCUAAGGAUCUACUAUGAUUGAUACCGUACCCUAAACCGACACAGGUUCGUAGGUAAAGAAUACUAAGGCGAAGAGAUAAUACUUGUAAAGGAACUCGGCAAACUUUCCUCAUAAGUUAGACGACAUGAGGAGCCGUCUAAAGGACGGUGGCACAGAAUCGGAACCCCCGACUGUUUACUUAAAACACAGAUAUCUGCGAUGAUUAAAUUAUUUGUAUAGAUGUCGAAUUUUGCCCAAUGCCAUUAAUAUAAAGAAGGUGAGUUUAAUUUACCGACUGAAAAUCUGGUCAAUGGCGGUCUUAACUAUAAGGAUCCAAAGGUAGCAAAAUUCAUUGUCCGCUAAAUACGGUCCUGCAUGAAUAAAGUAACGAUGGGUUCACUGUCUCUACAAGUAUCUCAGUGAAAUUGAAAUAGCCGUGCAGAUGCGGUUUGCUUAUGGUUAGACGGGAAGACCCUAUGCAACUUUACUGUAAAUUGUUAUCAUUUUUUUUUAAUAUAGGUGUAGCAAUAUAAGGCAAUCGACAAGAUAAAAGUGAAAGACCUUAACUAUUAUUAAUUAAAUAUUAACCCCGAGGGCGAGAAACGCUGUUAUUAAAAUAGUAUGAAACUAGUUAUAAUUACCUUAUUUAAUAAUAGCAAAUGACGUUAAUAGGGAGAUAUAUGACAAUUUGGCAGUUUGUCUGGGGCGGACGUCUUUAAUAGAGUAUCAAAGACACCCAAAAUUUAAUUAUAUUUUUAUAUUUAUAUCUUUCUAUAUUAACUGUUACUUUGUUAACUAUCACUCAGCCCCAUCUUUCACUUUUUCAUUUCUCACUUUUCAUUUAAGAUGAGUGGGAGAUGAGUGGAUGAGAGGGUGAUGGUGAGUGAAAGAAUAUUAAUAAAUAUAUCAAUAUUUUUAUUAUGUAAAGUUAACAAUUUAAAGGUUUGCUAAAAUCGGAUGGAGACCGAUUAACUAUGUAUGGUUAAGAAGGUGUAAUGGCUAAAGCAAGCUUGACUGAGUGACCAAUAAGUCAAACAGAUACGUAAGUAGGGCAUAGUGACCCGGCGAUAUAUUAUGGAAUAGUCGUCGAUAAAUAGAUAAAAGUUACGCUAGGGAUAACAGGUUAGUCGCGGUUGAGAGUUCAUAUGGACACCGCGGUUCGACACCUCGAUAGUUGAUGUUGAGGAUAAAAUGGGUUAAUUGCAAGAAACUCCUAACCCCAUAAGGAACUAAGGGGAGAGUAUUGAUAAAAUAUUUAGGAUAAUUUGCAGCGAAGCUUAUUCUGGCAAUUAGAAAUAUUGGAAUAAGAACGUUCAACGACUAACAGGUGAGUAAUUUGCAACAAUAAUCCUGACACGAAUACCCAUCAAUUAAGAUAUGGAAGGUAGAUUAUAUCGAAUUCAAAAUUUAUAGUAAAAGUAUGAGAAACAACAACAAAAUUAACAAUAUACGUGAUGGUUACCAUCUUAAUUCUAAAUACUGACAGGAUAUUAAGAAAACUAGACCUAAUUUAAAUCCAAAGCUUAUUAAU
rnacentral:rRNA from 1 species